CGGACGGGUGAGUAAUGCUUGGGAAUCUGGCUUAUGGAGGGGGAUAACUACGGGAAACCGUAGCUAAUACCGCGUAAUAUCGAAAGAUUAAAGUGUGGGACCUUCGGGCCACAUGCCAUAGGAUGAGCCCAAGUGGGAUUAGGUAGUUGGUGAGGUAAAGGCUCACCAAGCCGACGAUCUCUAGCUGGUCUGAGAGGAUGACCAGCCACACUGGGACUGAGACACGGCCCAG
rnacentral:rRNA from 1 species